rnacentral:lncRNA from 1 species
GGAUGAGUGAGGGCCUUCAGGAGGCUGUGCUGCUUGAAUGUUCUACUCUAAGGUUGGGGACACCAAGUGUGUUGAAUGCCAUUGGGAAAGAUCCAGUUGAAAAUGAGAAGUUGAACAUAGGGAUUAGGAGAUUGUGCAGGGGGAAAAUGGGGGAUCCAAGGACAGUGGAAGGAUGGGAGGAGCAAGAAGGAAGACCCUCCAGAGUCGUGCUCUGCAGUCGGAUCCCUGGAUGGAAAUCCCAGGCCUGCCGCUCUCUGUGACCUCAGGCAAUCUCGCUCUGUGGCCCAGGCUGGAGUGCAGUGGCACAAUCUUGGCUCACUGCAA